UUAGUGGUAAGUUUAGAGUUUCAGCCUCCACUAAUGUAGCCUCCAGCUGCUGGCCUCAAGCAAAGAGGAGAGGCAUUGCUUUUGGGGGCUGUGCUCAUGUCAAAUCAUUCCAACUCCAUACCGCUUUUUUCAUCUGUCAAUCACGGACUUCUCUACUGACCUUCGGGCAUCACCUGGAGCUGGCAAGUCAUAAAAGUCCUUCAAUAGCGUCUCACCAGAUAUUCCACGUCACAAAAGUUCCACAUCAGUACUCUUACCUUAUUGGCGGUUUCCUCCAGUUUGUUCUUGUUGGCACACAGACCAGAACCCAGCCCUCCCAGGGCGUAGGCAGACCGCAGCAUCACUGGAUAACCAAUCUGCUCUGCAGCUUUCAAGGCAUCACACACCUGAAAGACUCCACAGCAAUACUGGGUGCAAUCUUUUCGUUGAUCUCCAUUAGUUUUUCAGCAAAUAUAUGCCUGUCUUCUGUGGCCAUGAUGGACUCUACUGGUGUUCCCAAGACUUUCACUCCAUACUGCUCCAGAACACCCUGCUGAAACAAUUCCACUCCUGAAAAACAACAGAAAAACAACAUAAAUUUGUGUCACUUACACUAAAAUAUACAGUUAACAUCUACACUGAAUUAGAAACAUUUAUGUCAAAAGGCUCACCACAGUUGAGGGCAGUCUGUCCACCCAUGGAAAGCAGGAUGCCAUCAGGGCGCUCUGUCUUAAUCACGUCGGUAACAAAUUGUGACGUGACAGGCAAGAAGUAAACUGAAUCAGCCUGCUUGGUGCCCACUUCAUUGGUCUGGACUGAAGCUAUAUUUGGAUUCAUAAGCACUGUCUUCAGAUUCUCCUCCUACAACACCAGAUCACAGAAGAGAGUUUAUUUUUUUGAAUAUGAACAGUUCAGCUUUUCUUCUCUAAAAAGUUGUGAAAGUUACAUGUUUAGCCGGCAUGGGACAGUAUGAAACCGGCCUGACCUUAGAAAAUCGAUGGGGUAUUGUCAAGAAGAAAAUGCUAUAUGCUAGACCCAACAAUGCAGAAGAACUAAAGUAUUUUGUGCUGUUCAUUAAUACUUUUCAUGUUCAUGCUUUUCAGUUGGCCAACAUUUCUAAAAUCCUUUUGUUAAUUGGUUAUACGUGACAUUCAAAUUAUCUGAGAUGGUAAAUUUGGGAUAUGCAUUAGUUUCCAGUUAUACUAAUCAAAAUGUUAAUAAAU